rnacentral:miRNA from 1 species
UUUCGGACUACUCAAGCGCAG